rnacentral:lncRNA from 1 species
CCUCUUCGAAUUUCCAUCUCGUCUUGUCUGCUGGAGUGUUGAUUUGGACACCAUCUUCUUGAUCUGGUUGCUGUAGUUGCUAUUUAGUAGCUUCGUUGUCCCUUUGGACCUCGAUAACCUCUACGGGGGUAAAAGUCUUUUUUUUUUACUCCUUCAGUAGUUGCACAGUGCAUCAUAAAGAUGUGGCCAGAUCACCCUUGAUUUCUUUGAUUCCUUGUCCUGGGAUGAAAUCAAAUUUUUUGAUACUUGACAGAGGUUACGGUAUUCUCACAUUAUUAUCGUGAACAUCUGCUUUGAGACAACUAGCGGUGUUCUCACAUUAAAUGUAAUGUUGCUGAUGGUAGUUGAGGUGUGUCCAUUGAAUUAGGUGAGUACCUUCACUCGGCGUAUGAUUGUGCUUUCUAGGCCCAUCUUCUGAAUUACUGAAAGCUAAUGUAGGUUGACUGUACUUCUGUUGUCAACCAUCAUUUUGUCAACUAUAGCAUGGGCUAGUUAGACAGAUACCACUAGUGGGUCGUCGUGUGGUAAGUUAGCACUUUCGACAUCCUGCUCGGUGAAGCCAAUGAUGGGUCUAGGUUGGGUGUUGACUGCCUGGACCUGAGAGACUAAUAUAGCCUGUUGGAUUUUCCUCUUCUUGGAAUUGUUGGUGGCCUCUAAGUGCUCAGAUUCAGCGAAGAUGCCAUUGAACCAGAUUGUUUUGGUCGGCAGCUCUUCAUCGGCGUCUGCAUUUCUUCUAGGAUGUGCAGCUGGCUUGUCAAGUUUUUGUCUACCUUGCCUUAUUUCACCAACUUCUUUGGGUAGUUCCUCCAAGUGUAGUAAUUGUUAGUGUGUGACCAAGACUUCGAUGGAAUGCGUAGUACUUGGUAUGGUCCAACUUGGAGGUAUUUCCCAUUUAUUACUUCGGCAACUUGAACCAAGGUUCGCUUUUGAUGUCGCGAAGGAUUUGGUAGAUCAAGAUCAAGAACUUAGAGUAGUUCUUAAGUGUUGGGCCUCCUUUAGUCUGCUCGCUGAGCCUUAUCACAAAGUGCAUGCUUCUCUACCAGAGCGAAAAAGUCUGCUAGAGUUAAAUCUUCUUUCAUGAUCAACUCUCCAAAUAACGGGUGGUUUAUUAGGAGUCCUUUUUGGAAGGCUGCACUAGCUAUCGAGUCAUUGCAUCCAACUAUCUUUUCCUUCUUUGUUUUGAACCUCUUCAUAUAGUCGCAUAGCGACUCUUUUGGGUUCUACUUACGUUGAACAAGUGAUCAGACUUCUUCUUGAUUGAGCGAUAAGAUGAAUACUCCUUGGUGAAAACCAAAGAAAGCUCAUUGAAACUCCAGAUGGAUUAUGGCAACAAGGUGUGGAACCAAUCUUGCGCCUCACCUUGUAGAGUGAUGGCGAAUAUCUUGCACAUGAG